rnacentral:ncRNA from 1 species
AUAAUGAUACUCCAACGAUGGUGUUGCCCGGACGGAUGUCGGGGAGGUGAGAGUCCUGUGA